rnacentral:rRNA from 1 species
GACGAACGCUGGCGGCGUGCCUAAUACAUGCAAGUCGAACGCUGAAGAGAGGAGCUUGCUCUUCUUGGAUGAGUUGCGAACGGGUGAGUAACGCGUAGGUAACCUGCCUUGUAGCGGGGGAUAACUAUUGGAAACGGUAGCUAAUACCGCAUAACAAUGGAUGACCCAUGUCAUUUAUUUGAAAGGGGCAAAUGCUCCACUACAAGAUGGACCUGCGUUGUAUUAGCUAGUAGGUGAGGUAACGGCUCACCUAGGCGACGAUACAUAGCCGACCUGAGAGGGUGAUCGGCCACACUGGGACUGAGACACGGCCCAGACUCCUACGGGAGGCAGCAGUAGGGAAUCUUCGGCAAUGGGGGCAACCCUGACCGAGCAACGCCGCGUGAGUGAAGAAGGGUUUCGGAUCGUAAAGCUCUGUUGUAAGUCAAGAACGAGUGUGAGAGUGGAAAGUUCACACUGUGACGGUAGCUUACCAGAAAGGGACGGCUAACUACGUG